rnacentral:rRNA from 1 species
CCUACGGGAGGCAGCAGUGGGGAAUAUUGGACAAUGGGGGGAACCCUGAUCCAGCGACGCCGCGUGAGUGAAGAAGUAUUUCGGUAUGUAAAGCUCUAUCAGCAGGGAAGAAAAUGACGGUACCUGACUAAGAAGCCCCGGCUAACUACGUGCCAGCAGCCGCGGUAAUACGUAGGGGGCAAGCGUUAUCCGGAUUUACUGGGUGUAAAGGGAGCGUAGACGGUGCAGCAAGUCUGAUGUGAAAGGUCGGGGCCCAACCCCGGGACUGCUCUUGGAACUGUGCGGCUAGAGUGCGGGAGGGGCAGGCGGAAUGCCUGGUGUAGCGGUGAAAUGCGUAGAUAUCAGGAGGAACACCGGCGGCGAAGGCGGCCUGCUGGACCGCGACUGACGUUGAGGCUCGAAAGCGUGGGGAGCGAACAGGAUUAGAUACCCGAGUAGUC